rnacentral:rRNA from 1 species
CCUACGGGUGGCAGCAGUGAGGAAUAUUGGUCAAUGGUCGUAAGACUGAACCAGCCAAGUAGCGUGCAGGAUGACUGCCCUAUGGGUUGUAAACUGCUUUUAUGAGGGGAUAAAACGCGUCACGUGUGACUUUUUGCAGGUACCUUAUGAAUAAGGAUCGGCUAACUCCGUGCCAGCAGCCGCGGUAAUACGGAGGGUCCGGGCGUUAUCCGGAUUUAUUGGGUUUAAAGGGAGCGUAGGUGGCUUGUUAAGUCUGCUGUGAAAGUCUGUGGCUCAACCGUGAAAGUGCGAUUGAUACUGGCUGGCUUGAGUGCACUGGAGGUAGGCGGAAUUCGUGGUGUAGCGGUGAAAUGCUUAGAUAUCACGAAGAACCCCGAUUGCGAAGGCAGCUUACUACACUGUUACUGACACUGAUGCUCGAAGGUGCGGGUAUCGAACAGGAUUAGAUACCCUUGUAGUC